GGAAGCGCACAACCGGUGGAGCAUGUGGUUUAAUUCGAUACAAAGCGAAAGACCUUACCUGGGUUUGACAUGUACCUGCAAGCCUCCUGAAAGGGAGGCCGCCUACGAGGGUGGUACACAGGUGCUGCAUGGCUGUCGUCAGCUCGUGUUGUGAAACGUCCGCUUAAGUGCGGUAACGAGCGCAACCCCUGUUCUAUGUUGCAACUCAUAGAAGACUGCCCGGCUGCAAGCCGGGAGGAAGGAGGGGACGACGUCAAGUCCGCAUGGCCCUUACACCCAGGGCUACACACAUCCUACAAUGGAGCCGACAACGGGUCGCGACGGGGUAACCCUAAGCCAAUCCUCAGAAACGGCUCCUCAGUUCAGAUUGAGGGCUGCAAUUCGCCCUCAUGAAGUCGGAAUCGGUAGUAAUCGCAGAUCAGCAGGCUGCGGUGAAUACGUUCUCGCUUCUU
rnacentral:rRNA from 1 species